rnacentral:rRNA from 1 species
GACGAACGCUGGCGGCGUGCCUAAUACAUGCAAGUAGGACGCAGUUGCGAACGUGUGAGUAACGCGUAGGUAACUACCUAUUAGAGGGGGAUAACUAUUGGAAACGAUAGCUAAUACCGCAUACUAGUAGAUUGACCUGCGUUGUAUUAGCUAGUAGGUAGGGUAAUGGCCUACCUAGGCAAAGAUACAUAGCCGAGCUGGGAGGGGGAGCGGCCACAAUGGGACUGAGACAAGGCUCAAGCUCCUACGGGAGGCAGGAGUAGGGAAUUUUCGGAAAUGGGGGGAAACCUGACUGAGGAACGGCGCGUGAGUGAAGAAGGUUUGUGGAUUGGAAAGCUAUGUUGUUAAGGAAGCGGUACUUAACCAGAAAGGGACGGCUAACUACGUGCCAGCAGCCGCGGUAAUAC